rnacentral:misc_RNA from 1 species
UACAGAGGCCACGAGCGUUAGGCGGAAUCACUGGGCUUAAAGCGUGUGUAGGUGGAUGGGUAAGUACCUUGUGAAAUCCCACAGCUCAACUGUGGAACUGCUUGGUAUACUGCCUGUCUUGAGGCACUCAGGGGCGAGCGGAACAGAUGGUGGAGCGGUGAAAUGCGUAGAUAUCAUCUGGAACGCCAAUGGUGAAGACAGCUCGCUGGGGGUGUACCGACACUGAGACACGAAAGCCAGGGGAGCAAACGGG